rnacentral:rRNA from 1 species
CCUACGGGAGGCUGCAGUAGGGAAUCUUCGUCAAUGGGCGCAAGCCUGAACGAGCAAUGCCGCGUGAACGAGGAAGGUCCUCGGAUCGUAAAGUCCCGUUGAAGGGGAAACAGAGCGGAGAGAGGAAAUGCUUUCUGAUUGAUAUUACCCUUCGAGGAAGUCACGGCUAACUACGUGCCAGCAGCCGCGGUAAUAAGUAGGUGGCGUGCGUUAUCCGGAAUGAUUGGGCGUAAGGGGUGCGUAGGCGGACUGCUAAGUCUGGAGUUAAAGGUACGGGCUCAACCGGUACAGGCUCUGGAAACUGGCGGGCGAGAGAGCAGGAGAGGGAGGUGGAAUGCCAGGUGUAGCGGUAAAAUGCGUAGAUAUAUGGAAGAACACCAGUGGCGAAGGCGGCCGCCUGGCCUGUUACUGACGCUGAGGCACGAAAGCGUGGGGAGCAAAUAGGAUUAGAUACCCGAGUAGUC